rnacentral:rRNA from 1 species
GUGCAGCAGGCGAGAAUAGUCUACAAUGGACGAAAGUCUGAUAGUGCGACGCCGUGUGUGCGAUUAAUUCCUUCGGGAUGUAAAGCACUUUUCUAUGAGAUAAAAGCUCUUUAGGUUAAUAGCUUAUUGAGACGGAUAUUAUUAUAGGAAUAAGCUCCGGCUAACUCCGCGCCAGCAGCCGCGGUAAUACGGAAGGAGCGAGCGUUGUCCGGAUUUACUAGGCGUAAAGGGCUAGUAGGCGACUAAUUAAGUUAUAUGUUAAAUCCCACGGCUCAACUGUGGUCCUGCAUGUAAUACUGGUUAGAUAGAGUACUGUAGAGGAAGGCAGAAUUCCUGGAGUAGCGGUGGAAUGCGCAGAUAUCAGGAAGAAUACCAAAAGCGAAGGCAGCCUUCUGGGCAGUUACUGACGCUGAAUAGCGAAGGUGUGGGUAGCGAACAGGA